CUUUCUCUGUGAAGCUGCCAUGAAUUUGCACAGCGGCUCAGCGUGGGCUAUCAUAAAAGACAACGGCGCACCAGAGAAAAACAAACUCAGAAAGAAAAAUCGUCUUUUAUUUCGUUCUAAGGCGAACCGGCACCUGACAGCUAUAUGGGCGACUCGCUAAUAUAAUGCUAAUUGUAAGGCAAACAGGUCAGUGACAUUUGUUGAAGCGGUCCUGGGGAGUGUUUGCAUAAUACUCCAGAUUUAUUUAACCCACUGCAGUGACAUCCACAGCCGUCACAGACGAGGCUCCGGAGGUGCAAGAAUUACAGGUUUGAAUUCCCGUCUUCGUUUGCAGCCGAUGGCGUGGUAUUUGUUUUUCAUCAGCGACUGUUUGGUUUGGCUGAAUGUUUCCACAGGCAGAGCGGGGGGAGGGCAGGAGAGAGAGAGAGAGAGGAAGAUUGUGGAUUUCAUUGUGCACGCCAACAACAGGCUCCAGCGGACCCAGCGGGCAGUGAUUGGGCCGCGGCCAUCGAAGCCUCUCUGAGAGAAAAGGUGCCAAGUGCUUGUCCAUUAUAACAUGUCCUGUACUGCUUGAAAACCCCCUCACUCAGGAGUGCUCUUUGAGUGCGGUGGGGAUACAUCAUGGGCAGAGUGUUUUUUUGACAUUUUCUGAUAUUGCUAGAAACCAUUUUUCCUAACCAGAGCUGACGAAGGAGGACUCGGACUGUUGGGAAGCCAUGAAAACCUUAUGGUGAGUGGAAGUCCAGGAUGGACAAGGAAAACUGCGCACAUCAAAACUCUGAGUGUGAAUAAACAACCACACGAUCUUUGACGGUCGCUGGUUCAACUCUCAGCCAUGACCCUUUGCUGCAGUUGUCCUGUCA